GGGGUUGUAGUUCAAUUGGUUAGAGCACGGCCUUGUCACGGCCGAAGUUGCGGGUUCGAGUCCCGUCAGCCCCG
rnacentral:tRNA from 2 species